CAUCUGGUGAUGAGCUUUGCGCUCUGAGCUGGGGGUGGCCGCAGAGACCAGCGAGAAGCGACUGUUUACUAAAAACACAGGUCCGUGCGAAGCCGUAAGGCGAUGUAUACGGACUGACGCCUGCCCGGUGCUGGAACGUUAAGGGGACCGGUUAGCUCCAUUUCGGUGGGGCGAAGCUGAGAACUUAAGCGCCAGUAAACGGCGGUGGUAACUAUAACCAUCCUAAGGUAGCGAAAUUCCUUGUCGGGUAAGUUCCGACCUGCACGAAUGGCGUAACGACUUCUCGACUGUCUCAACCAUAGGCCCGGUAGAAAUUGCACUACGAGUAAAGAUG
rnacentral:ncRNA from 1 species